UACGUAGGCAGCGAGCGUUGUUCGGAGUUACUGGGCGUAAAGGGUGCGUAGGCGGGUCUUUAAGUCAGGGGUGAAAUCCUGGAGCUCAACUCCAGAACUGCCUUUGAUACUGAGGAUCUUGAGUUCGGGGAGAGGUGAGUGGAACUGCGAGUGUAGAGGUGAAAUUCGUAGAUAUUCGCAAGAACACCAGUGGCGAAGGCGGCUCACUGGCCCGAUACUGACGCUGAGGCACGAAAGCGUGGGGAGCAAACAGG
rnacentral:rRNA from 1 species